AACGAACGCUGGCGGCAUGCCUAACACAUGCAAGUCGAACGAGACCUUCGGGUCUAGUGGCGCACGGGUGCGUAACGCGUGGGAACCUGCCCUUAGGUUCGGAAUAACUCCCCGAAAGGGGUGCUAAUACCGGAUAAUGUCCUCGGACCAAAGAUUUAUCGCCUUUGGAUGGGCCCGCGUUGGAUUAGCUAGUUGGUAGGGUAAAAGCCUACCAAGGCGACGAUCCAUAGCUGGUCUGAGAGGAUGAUCAACCACACUGGGACUGAGACACGGCCCAGACUCCUACGGGAGGCAGCAGUGGGGAAUAUUGGACAAUGGGCGAAAGCCUGAUCCAGCAAUGCCGCGUGAGUGAUGAAGGCCUUAGGGUUGUAAAGCUCUUUUACCCGGGAUGAUAAUGACAGUACCGGGAGAAUAAGCUCCGGCUAACUCCGUG
rnacentral:rRNA from 1 species